AGAGUUUGAUCAUGGCUCAGAUUGAACGCUGGCGGCAUGCCUUACACAUGCAAGUCGAACGGUAACGCGGGGGCAACCCUGGCGACGAGUGGCGAACGGGUGAGUAAUACAUCGGAACAUAUCCAGUAGCGGGGGAUAACCUAUCGAAAGAUGGACUAAUACCGCAUACGAUCUACGGAUGAAAGCAGGGGACCGCAAGGCCUUGCACUAUUGGAGUGGCCGAUGUCGGAUUAGCUAGUUGGUGAGGUAAAGGCUUACCAAGGCGACGAUCCGUAGCUGGUCUGAGAGGACGAUCAGCCACACUGGAACUGAGACACGGUCCAGACUCCUACGGGAGGCAGCAGUGGGGAAUUUUGGACAAUGGGCGCAAGCCUGAUCCAGCCAUGCCGCGUGAGUGAAGAAGGCCUUCGGGUUGUAAAGCUCUUCGGUGAAGACGAAACGGUUAGCGCUAAUAACGCUGACUAAUGACGGUACUCACAGAAGAAGCACCGGCUAACUACGUGCCAGCAGCCGCGGUAAUACGUAGGGUGCAGGCGUUAAUCGGAAUUACUGGGCGUAAAGCGUGCGCAGGCGGUUUGCUAAGACAGGUGUGAAAUCCCCGAGCUUAACUUGGGAAUUGCGCUUGUAACUGGCAAGCUAGAGUGUGGCAGAGGGGGGUGGAAUUCCACGUGUAGCAGUGAAAUGCGUAGAUAUGUGGAGGAACACCGAUGGCGAAGGCAGCCCCCUGGGUUAACACUGACGCUCAUGCACGAAAGCGUGGGGAGCAAACAGGAUUAGAUACCCUGGUAGUCCACGCCCUAAACUAUGUCAACUAGUUGUCGGGGAAGAAAUUCCUUGGUAACGAAGCUAACGCGUGAAGUUGACCGCCUGGGGAGUACGGCCGCAAGGUUAAAACUCAAAGGAAUUGACGGGGACCCGCACAAGCGGUGGAUUAUGUGGAUUAAUUCGAUGCAACGCGAAAAACCUUACCUACCCUUGACAUGCUAGGAAGCCCGCAGAGAUGUGGGUGUGCCCGAAAGGGAACCUAGACACAGGUGCUGCAUGGCUGUCGUCAGCUCGUGUCGUGAGAUGUUGGGUUAAGUCCCGCAACGAGCGCAACCCUUGCCAUUAGUUGCUACAUUCAGUUGGGCACUCUAAUGGGACCGCCGGUGACAAACCGGAGGAAGGUGGGGAUGACGUCAAGUCCUCAUGGCCCUUAUGGGUAGGGCUUCACACGUAAUACAAUGGUCGGUACAGAGGGCUGCCAACCCGCAAGGGGGAGCUAAUCCCAGAAAGCCGAUCGUAGUCCGGAUUGUAGUCUGCAACUCGACUGCAUGAAGCCGGAAUCGCUAGUAAUCGCGGAUCAGCAUGUCGCGGUGAAUACGUUCCCGGGUCUUGUACACACCGCCCGUCACACCAUGGGAGUGGGUUCCACCAGAAGUAGUUAGCCUAACCGCAAGGAGGGCGAUUACCACGGUGAGAUUCAUGACUGGGGUGAAGUCGUAACAAGGUA
rnacentral:rRNA from 1 species